GGAAGCGUGCCUGAGCUAUAAGGACUACUUUGAUAGAGUAGACUACAGAGACUCAACCCCUCUCACUUCCU
rnacentral:tRNA from 1 species